rnacentral:rRNA from 1 species
AGGAAUAUUGGUCAAUGGGCGGAAGCCUGAACCAGCCAAGUCGCGUGAGGGAAGACGGUCCUAUGGAUUGUAAACCUCUUUUGCCGGGGAGCAAAGCCGGGCUCGUGAGCCCGGAAGGAGAGUACCCGGAGAAAAAGCAUCGGCUAACUCCGUGCCAGCAGCCGCGGUAAUACGGAGGAUGCGAGCGUUAUCCGGAUUUAUUGGGUUUAAAGGGAGCGUAGGUGGACUGGUAAGUCAGUUGUGAAAGUUUGCGGCUCAACCGUAAAAUUGCAGUUGAUACUGUCAGUCUUGAGUACAGUAGAGGUGGGCGGAAUUCGUGGUGUAGCGGUGAAAUGCUUAGAUAUCACGAAGAACUCCGAUUGCGAAGGCAGCUCACUGGACUGCAACUGACACUGAUGCUCGAAAGUGUGGGUAUCAAACAGGAUUAGAUACCCUGGUAGUCCACACAGUAAACGAUGAAUACUCGCUGUUUGCGAUAUACAGUAAGCGGCCAAGCGAAAGCAUUAAGUAUUCCACCUGGGGAGUACGCCGGCAACGGUGAAACUCAAAGGAAUUGACGGGGGCCCGCACAAGCGGAGGAACAUGUGGUUUAAUUCGAUGAUACGCGAGGAACCUUACCCGGGCUUAAAUUGCAGUGGAAUGAUGUGGAAACAUGUCAGUGAGCAAUCACCGCUGUGAAGGUGCUGCAUGGUUGUCGUCAGCUCGUGCCGUGAGGUGUCGGCUUAAGUGCCAUAACGAGCGCAACCCUUAUCUUUAGUUACUAACAGGUCAUGCUGAGGACUCUAGAGAGACUGCCGUCGUAAGAUGUGAGGAAGGUGGGGAUGACGUCAAAUCAGCACGGCCCUUACGUCCGGGGCUACACACGUGUUACAAUGGGGGGUACAGAAGGCAGCUAGCGGGUGACCGUAUGCUAAUCCCAAAAUCCUCUCUCAGUUCGGAUCGAAGUCUGCAACCCGACUUCGUGAAGCUGGAUUCGCUAGUAAUUGCGCAUCAGCCACGGCGCGGUGAAUACGUUCCCG